GAGGAAGAGAAAGAGCUGGAGUCCUUUAAAAUUAACUGCCUGUUUUUCCUUCUGUGGCUAGUGAGUCUUAUCUCUCCCUUUCCGAGGCAUUGUGAAGACCCUGUUUCUCUAGUUGUGCAGCUGCAAGGUCACUAGACAGAUAAUCUCAAGUGGUAAAACAUGUUGUUCCUUGAAAAGUAAGAAAUAAUGUAAUGCAUGUUUCAAUUGAGUAACUGUAUUUGUUUCCCACUUCUGUAAUAUGCUUCCCCUGCACAGAUCUCCCCCUGCCCCACGAAAUGCUUAAAAGAUAGCUUGACUCUUUGUUUGGGGCUCAGUCCUUUGGAUGUUAAUCUGACUAGGUCGGUGCAUCUAAAUAAUUAAAUAAUUCCUCCUCAACCCCUCGGUCUCUCUGAUUCCUUAAUUAUCCUGCAGCAUUUCUGGUGACCCGGACAGGGAUUGGAGAUGGCAGAUUUACUGUCUCCUUUGUCUGUGGGACUAGAGCCCCACGGCCAGGGGAGACCUGGUAUCCAAGGCGUGCCGUAGGGGAGCUUCACCUGGAUGGAGACUGGCUCUCCCGGCAUCCCAGUGGCCUAGCUGGCUGCACAACGGAACUGGAGACGGGGCUGCAGCAUGAUACCAGCACUUCAGUUGCAGGUGUCACACCUUGGAUUCACCAUAGCCGCCUGAAACCAGUGGCAGCAGUGACUCCCGACGAUGACCAGUGGAUUAGCCAACAAGACCCAGAUUGUCCCACCCGAAUGCUCCUACGGCAAAACCCAACCACCGGUAAGAAGGACGACUGCCCUGCUCUGACCACACCAGAGGCUGGUCAGUCUACAUAUGGCUGAAGCUUGAGGAUCCUACAAGCUCUGCUCUAGUCACAUCCUGGAAGCUGACUAGUCUAUGCAUGGCCGAAGCUAAGAGGACCAUCUCCGGAUAAUUAAAUAAAUCGAUGAUAAUGGCUGAGCUGUCAUGGAAAUCACAGCUAGAAUGCGCAAGUUGGCCCAUGUUCCAGUUCAGACUUGGUCCGGAUGGUCCUUGGAUUUGUUGUUUGGAGGAUAGUUCUCAACCUUUGGAGGAUUCAAAAC
rnacentral:lncRNA from 1 species